rnacentral:lncRNA from 1 species
UAGCCUUAGCGGAUUGUCAAUGCCCAAUUAGCAAUCCUAUGGCUAGGAACAUUUUAGGAAUGAACAUAAGAGAAAGGUCUCGAUAAUCUAACUCAUUAGAUCACUUAUCUCUUAGAACAAAUACAUUCCUUGGAUUCCCUUAUUGCUUAAACACAUGAUACAAUAAAUAGUGAUUAACAAUAAGAUUUGCCCUCCAUUAAACAUAUAAAAGUUUAACACAAUAAGUAUUCCAAAAAGCUAUUACAUCAAAUGAGUGGCUUUGUGGGCAUACUUCCAACAACUAUGGCCGGCCAUUUAGGGAGUUUUGGGCUUUUGGGCUUCAAUGAAUCUUUAUUCAUUAAAUUGUCAUACAACUUAAGUUAAUGGGCUUGACGUUCGAAGCCCAUUGG